CCUGCGGCGGAAUGAAUUUUUCCGAAAAUGGGCUGUUGCGCAGCGUGAUCAUGCUGCGCGGGAACGACCUAACGUUCCCGACUAUGAGCCUCACGGCUCCCUGAGCGCCACGACCCCAGAAGGGUUGUGGCGCUCGGAUC
rnacentral:sRNA from 1 species